rnacentral:rRNA from 1 species
UACGUAGGUGGCAAGCGUUGUCCGGAUUUACUGGGCGUAAAGGGCGUGCAGGCGGUUUGUUAAGUUCAGGGUGAAAGCUCCCGGCUCAACUGGGAGAGGUCCUUGGAUACUGGCAGACUUGAGGAGGGUAGAGGAGAGUGGAAUUCCCGGUGUAGUGGUGAUAUGCGUAGAUAUCGGGAGGAACACCAGUGGCGAAGGCGGCUCCUCGUCGGGCCCUACCUGACGCUGAGACGCGAAAGCGUGGGGAGCGAACCGG